rnacentral:lncRNA from 1 species
GAUUGUCACAUUCAUCUGGUUUUGACAUACAUAUUAAAAGGGGGCAAUUGGAAUUUAUAUAAACAGCAAAAAUCAUGUCAACAGAAUUCAGUUGCUUCAGGAAACAGAGCAAACGUUUGAAAACAAUUAGAUAACAGCUCCUGUCACUUUCAAGUGAUAUAUUGCAAGAUUGAAUGGAAGGAGCUACUGGUCAGUUAGUAUUUAAGUACCUGGGUAACAUGCAGAGGAGGAGUACUCCACUAUUAUAGAACUCUAUCAUUGCAGCAUGUCCUAAACUACGUAUUUGUAUUUAAAUUGCUUGGUCGGCCGUGCUACGUCAUUUGACCUUCGGAAACUACAACUGAAAUGAGGUAGAAAUUAGUAACAUUCUUUCUGCAAUAAAAUAUGCAUGGCUCAAGGCAUUGAAGAGUAGUCACCUACGCCGUCAUGCUAAGCUUUUAGCUUGAAGAAACCAACUCUAUAAAAGCCAAGGUGGCCUUAGAUUCUGGGCACCGAAUACUUCACAAACCUUGCAGCACUGUCAAUGGAGAGAGCAUCUCAAAUCACCCUCUUCCUGUUACUCAUCA